rnacentral:rRNA from 1 species
AGUGAACGCUGGCGGUAGGCCUAACACAUGCAAGUCGAACGGCAGCACAGUAAGAGCUUGCUCUUACGGGUGGCGAGUGGCGGACGGGUGAGGAAUACAUCGGAAUCUACUUUUUCGUGGGGGAUAACGUCGGGAAACUAACGCUAAUACCGCAUACGACCUACGGGUGAAAGCAGGGGAUCUUCGGACCUUGCGCGAUUGAAUGAGCCGAUGUCGGAUUAGCUAGUUGGCGGGGUAAAGGCCCACCAAGGCGACGAUGCGUAGCUGGUCUGAGAGGAUGAUCAGCCACACUGGGACUGAGACACGGUCCAGACUCCUACGGGAGGCAGCAGUGGGGAAUAUUGGACGAUGGGCGCAAUCCUGAUCCAGCCAUACCGCGUGGGUGCAGAAGGCCUUCGUGUUGUAAAGCCCUUUUGUUGUGAAAGAAAAGCAGCAGGUUAAUACCCCGCUGUUCUGACGGUACCCAAAGAAUAAGCACCGGCUAACUUCGUG